rnacentral:rRNA from 1 species
UACGAAGGGGGCUAGCGUUGCUCGGAAUUACUGGGCGUAAAGCGCAUGUAGGCGGCGAUUCAAGUUAGAUGUGAAAGGCCUGGGCUCAACCCGGGAACUGCAUUUGAUACUGAAUUGCUAGAGUCCAAGAGAGGGUAGUGGAAUUCCCAGUGUAGAGGUGAAAUUCGUAGAUAUUGGGAAGAACACCAGUGGCGAAGGCGGCUACCUGGCUUGGUACUGACGCUCAGAUGCGAAGGCGUGGGG